ensembl:lncRNA
AUCUAACUGCAGGGAAGACAAACUCUCCGCGUGCUCCAGCCUGUGCUUAUUACAGGCUGAGGAGUGGGGGGCGGGGGGCAGGGACGUUGCUCAGAUCGACUUAUCUGCUCCGAUCGACUUCUCGGGCUUUAUAAAUCGAUGGCCGCGGCAUCGAUUGCGGCAGCCGCGAAUUAGCAUGCCCGUUCGACAAACUCUGUCCAGCGGCUUGAAGCAGGGGUCCCCAACGCGGGGACGUCAUGACGUCAUCCCGAGGCGACGCCGCCGAAACGCCAGCGGAUUUCAGGGGCCGGUGUCGGCUCGGGAUGACGUAUGGCGUAUGACGUCAUCCGCUGGCGCCGCUGGUGAAGCCGGCAUGGACCAGACGGAAAAGGCUGGGGCGCAGUGACUUAAAGAGAAGGCGCCAUGAGCUGGGCUGUGGGGCUGGCGUCUGUCCUGUGGGGCUCGUCCCUUGGCGCUGGACCGACGUUCCAAGGUGUAAGAGACUGUCCUGCAUAUCUCUGUGACAAACUUGAGGGCCCUUCUGUGUUUAUCGCAAUUAAUUUACCCAAUACUGCAUGUGUUCUCUGUCGGCAGAAAAGCUGUUCAGAGUCAUUCUAUGAUAUCAUGGUACUGCAAGAUGGAAAGCUAAAGUAUUUCAAUAGUACCUACAGAGGGUAUGUGUCCAUCUCCCAGAAAGGCUUUGCUGCAAAUAGGAGCAAAUGGCUAGAAGACGAAUAUCUGAUUCUAACCAGCCUGGAAAGAGAAUGUGUGGCCCAUGUGAUUCUGAUGAUGGCAGAUUCCACUUUGUCCCCACUCUCUCUACAUGUGACCACCCAAGCCAUAGAGGGAUCGUGGAAUGAGACUGACAAGAAGAAUUUCAUGACUUCUCAUGGCCAUGCUGGCUUGAUUACUGUAGUUGUCAUGGUGGUGGUGCUGCUGCUGCUAUUUGUGCUGUAUAAACAUAAGGUUAUCCCGUGUAGAAGAAAGAAGCCUGAGAUAUAAGCAAGUGAAGAUGAGUUGCUUUAGGAAGCUAUAAACAGUGGAAUGGAACUACAGAUGGCUUAGAGGGAGAACAAGUGUGCACUGUGAUGGUCAGGGUCUCUGCUAGCAGGGAAACAAGACCCACAUGGAGCCUCUUACCAGCAAUUACUAUUGGUGCUCUUCUGAUCUCUCCCACCUGAUUUGCACAUUUUGAGGACUUCUGUUUUGGAAAUUCCUAGUUCUGCUUGUGGUUUGGGAGAUAGCAGACCUGGAAUACACGUAGCCACUUUUCUAAUCCUACUUGCUGUUAACUGGCUUAGGUUGUGUUUUGUUUUUAAUUUAUUUUUGUAAGAGCUGUUCAAAGGCUUGCCUCAUUGCGUUCUAAGACCUGCCUGCCAUGUAGGCUUUGGUUUGCUUUCUGGUGUCUUCUGGGUUCACCUACCUGCCCAUUUCUAAUGCAUGUAUCACUGUAGUCUCUAGUGGCAGUUACAUUCCCCACCAUCAUGAAAUAUUUCUAGACUUAUUCUGAAAUACUGCAUCUCUGGAACGCCGUACUGUCUACUGCGUAUACAGGAAUCCAUUAUUUAUACAUUGCUUGCCUUUUUAGCCCUGCUCUCCCAAAACACUAGGUGCACAGCAUGAAAUACAAUCGGUCCAAAAGAGGUGUCAGUACAUUAUAAAGAUGCAUUAGUGGUUUUAAAAACCCACCAUCUGUUGCUAACCAAGAACCAUUCUUUAGCUAGCAGAAUCAUCCUGAUAAAAUAUGUCUUCCUCUUCUGAACAAAACUCAACAUUUUCUCAGGUAGCUUGAUCUUCAGAGAUGCACUUUUAAAUGUCUUAGAAAGAUCCUGAACAGCCAGCUAUAGUAGAAAGAGCCUGGGCCUGGUGCAAGGCCUGAGGCCUGAAUCAAAGUCAGCAAAAGUUAUGCUUAAAAGUUGUAGAUGCCAUGUUCUGAUCAUUUAUGAAGAUAUACGUCUGUUACAUAAUUACAAAUUAGUACCCGAGCCGAGCAUAUGAAGAU